rnacentral:rRNA from 1 species
AUACGUAGGGGACGAGCGUUGUCCGGAAUUACUGGGCGUAAAGGGCGCGAAGGCGGAUAUUUAAGUCAGCUGUAAAAGGCAUGAGCUCAACUCAUGUAUGCGGUUGAACCUGGGUAUCUAGAGUGCUGGAGAGGUAGGCGGAAUUCCCGGUGUCGCGGUGAAAUGCGUAGAUAUCGGGAAGAACACCAGUGGCGAAGGCGGCUUACUGGCCAGCAACUGACGCUGAGGCGCGAAAGCCAGGGGAGCGAACGGGAUUAGAUACCCCGGUAGUCCUGGCCGUAAACGAUGAAUGCUAGGUGUGGGUGUCGAGAGGCAUCCGUGCCGGAGUUAACGCGAUAAGCAUUCCGCCUGGGGAGUACGAUCGCAAGAUUGAAACUCAAAGGAAUUGGCGGGG